UACAGAGGGUGCAAGCGUUAAUCGGAAUUACUGGGCGUAAAGCGUGCGUAGACGGUCAUGUAAGUCGGGUGUGAAAGCCCCGGGCUCAAUCUGGGAAUUGCAUUCGAGACUGCAUGGCUAGGGUGCGGAAGAGGGAAGCGGAAUUUCCGGUGUAGCGGUGAAAUGCGUAGAUAUCGGAAGGAACAUCAGUGGCGAAAGCGGCUUCCUGGUCCAGCACCGACGUUCAGGCACGAAAGCGUGGGGAGCAAACAGG
rnacentral:rRNA from 1 species